AUAUUUUAUGACGACUUUUGUCCCAAGAUACACAACCGAUUUUAGCUUGAAACACAAGAGCUUACAUAAUCAGUAUCAAUGCGAAAUAUCAAUUUCAAUGAAAUUACAGAACCAGUGCUAUAUUGAAAAUGAACUUUUGGCAAACGAACAGUCAGGUUUCAAAUGCAGUGUGAAUAAUUAUUUCUUUGGGCAAAUCAAAGAUGUUACCGAUAUAUUGAACCUAUUGCACUUCAGAUCUGCUCUCAGGGGAAGGGUUUCAGAUUUCGAUUAUUACCUACAAAUAAAUUAUACCAAUAUGAAAAACCAAAAUGGAAAUAGGAAAGUUAAUUUCCCAUCAGAAAGAAAAACAGACUGUCAUGAGAAAGUCAAACCUAAAUUGUUUACCGACACAUUAGAUUUGUUCGGAGUAAAAAAUAAAACUGAGUUUGAAGUUUCUUUCGUGGGCGAAUUAGCUGAGCACAAAAUCA